GAGUUUGAUCCUGGCUCAGAACGAACGCUGGCGGCAGGCUUAACACAUGCAAGUCGAACGCCCCGCAAGGGGAGUGGCAGACGGGUGAGUAACGCGUGGGAACGUGCCCAAAGGUACGGAACAACUCCGGGAAACUGGAGCUAAUACCGUAUGUGUCCGUAAGGAGAAAGAUUUAUCGCCUUUGGAUCGGCCCGCGUUGGAUUAGCUAGUUGGUGGGGUAAAAGCCUACCAAGGCGACGAUCCAUAGCUGUUCUGAGAGGAAGAUCAGCCACACUGGGACUGAGACACGGCCCAGACUCCUACGGGAGGCAGCAGUGGGGAAUCUUGGACAAUGGGCGCAAGCCUGAUCCAGCCAUGCCGCGUGAGUGAUGAAGGCCUUAGGGUUGUAAAACUCUUUCGCCGAGGACGAUAAUGACGGUACUCGGAGAAGAAGCUCCGGCUAACUUCGUGCCAGCCGCCGCCGUAAC
rnacentral:rRNA from 1 species